AUAUAAUCUGUCAGAGGUUUAAUUCCCAAACCACUAACUAAGCAAUCCUGAAAUAGAACAACACAGAUGAUAGAUAGAUAGACUGAACUUACCACUGACACAGCACUGAGCCAACAAUCUGACAACCAUAUCAUUAAGCUAAACUGCAACCUUUCACAUAGAGGUCAUUAAACAAACACAGUGAACACAUGCCAGAAGAACUUGGCUCCUUCAUCAACAGAGAUUGUGAAAAUUCAGCUAGAGAGAUGAUGGGCUUAAAAAGCAACAUUACAUGAAAGCAAUCACCACCACCACCACCACCACCACCAAC